AAAAUAAAAACACUGCCAUCUUUCAUUCCAGUUAUUAUACAGUAGCUGGCAUUCUUUAGACAAAGCUUAAAAUAACCAUGAACAUACCAGUGAAAAUAAAUGGACGUGAGGUUUUGCUGGAAGUGAAGAAUUUGGGAUCCAUCCAUUCCAGGCCCUCCUGAGCAGAACCUGCGUGGAAUCAACUUCUUUUUUAUCCCUUUGAAGUUCUGCUGGUGUGUGGAAAAAGCUGCAAGAAAAGCCAGCGCAGCCCCGCUUGGCUGGAGGCGUAGCAGAACGUCUUGGAAUGACCAAAUGGCCUUUGUAAUGUCCGCUCCCUAACAGAGGAGAGCUUGUCAGCAAGGCCCUGGCUGCCUGGCCGCAGCCACCUGGCAUCCAUGCUUGGUGUUCAGAGCACAUCAGGCUGCUCUGUGUGUGCCACCGCCUCACUGGGAUCCGUGGCCGGAGGGGUGAGCAGCUCCUGCCUCUGUUUUCCUUUGGCUCCAAAGCAGAAGGGGAGAAACCGGAGGCUGCUCUGCAGUUGCAGUCAUUAAGGCUUGUUCUCCUGCUUCCUUGACAAUGUGUUAAUUGCCUGCCUGGCCAGCGGGUCUGCUGUGCUGCUUGCUGCAGAAAGCUGCAGGGACUUUUUCUUGUUUCUGUUCCUAUUAAAA
rnacentral:lncRNA from 7 species